UACAGAGGGUGCAAGCGUUAAUCGGAGUUACUGGGCGUAAAGGGCGCGUAGGCGGAUUAUUAAGUUAGAUGUGAAAUCCCUGGGCUUAACCUAGGAAUGGCAUUUAAGACUGGUAAUCUGGAGUACUGUAGAGGGUAGUGGAAUUUCCGGUGUAGCGGUGAAAUGCGUAGAGAUCGGAAGGAACACCAGUGGCGAAGGCGGCUACCUGGACAGAUACUGACGCGGAGGCGCGAGAGCGUGGGGAGCAAACAGG
rnacentral:rRNA from 1 species